UCUGGCCCCUAAAAUACAGAAGCUGUGAUUUUUUAUGGGGGAGUUGACAUUAGAUGAGUCUCAUAUAACUUAGAAUGUCCUCAAAUUUACUUGGUAUUGAACAAAGACCAUCAACAUCUGAUCAUCUUGUCUCUAAAUGUUUAUUGCUAUAUUCACAGGUGUAUGCCAACCUACCUACUAAAUACAAUGGGAUGUGUGUCUUGAGACAGUAUGCUAUGGAGGGAGUCCUAUCUAGUCUGAUGAAAAUUGCUGUGGAGACCAGACUGACCUCAAACACAAAGAGGCUUUUCCCCUUAAGUGCAAGCAUUAAAGUUCCAAUACCCAAGUAUGAUCCCAAAUUCUGCCACAGAAAAUCUGUGGCAUCUCCCCCCAUCUAGUGUGGAUCCCAAAAACCUUCUCCUCCUAUCCUGACUCUUCCAACUCAUAGGAUUAUCCCAAGCCACUACUUCAACUGGACUUUCUUGGGAACCUACAGAUUACUCUUGCAGGGAAAAAGAGACACAUUCCCUGGCUGUGACAUGUGGGCUUGACCUGAAGCAUGACAAGUCAUCACAGUUUCACACAGGAUGAGAUACAGAUAGGCAUCUUCUAG